GAAGGUCAUUUGUAUUGUAUGUGGACCAGUAUGAUUCCUGCGAGCUGUGGUUUCUGGUGGCAUCUCCUCAACUUCCGAAAGAAGACAAUGAAUUGUAAUGUCCAUCUCAAAGACCCGCAGAUUUUAUAGUGGCUGGAGAACAAACAUCUAGAGGUAGACAGAAAAAGAAUUUAUUUUGAACGGGGUAAGUUUGAGUUCACUUGUGCCCAAAAUGAAUAACAGUAAGUAGA
rnacentral:lncRNA from 1 species